rnacentral:rRNA from 1 species
GGCGGGCACCGCUAUCGGAAUGCGAUUAAGGCAUGCGAGUCGAGAGGUGCAAGACCUCGGCGGACGGCUGAGUAACACGCGGAUAACCUGCCCUGGAGUGGGGGAUAAUCUCGGGAAACUGAGAAUAAUACCCCAUAGGUGUGGUAUGCUGGAAUGCUUCCACGCUGAAAGCUCCGGCGCUCCAGGAUGGGUCUGCGGCCUAUCAGGCUGUAGUGGGUGUAACGGACCCACUAACCUACGACGGGUAGGGGCGUUGAGAGACGGAGCCCCCAGAUGGAUUCUGAGACACGAAUCCAGGCCCUACGGGGCGCAGCAGGCGCGAUG